rnacentral:lncRNA from 1 species
UGCACUGUUUCUUUAGACUCUGGAAGUGCAACUAUACUAUUUAAUUGAAGCAGACAAGUUUCUUGCGUUAUAAAAAGAUCAAAUAAGUCUCUCUUUGUAACAUGCACAUGUGAAAAAUCAUGACUAAAAUUCUUAUGUUUGUGUAUACUAUGAUCCUCUUUCUUUUUCUAUUUUUCAUUGUAACUAAUGUCGAUGGUAAGGCCUUUUUUCUCAUAAUUUUUUCUUUAUCUUAGUAUAUAAUUUUUCUUCCAAUUUGAAUGACACUCGUUUAUUUUGGUUUGGUUUACUUGACAGCACUUCGCAAACCCUGCAAUAUUGAUGCCGAUUGUCGAAAUUCAAGUUGUACUUUACCUGAUGCUGGGAGGUGUAUGACGGGUCAAUAUUCUGGUCAUUGUUACUGCAUGUAAUAAUAUUAAUGUUACUCUUAUUAUUUUGAGUACAUUUUAGUUUACAGUUUUAGUGCUCUAGUUCUUGUGUUUGUAUUUGGUUAUGUGUGAUUUGAAUUUGUAAUGUCAUUCUUGUUUUCUUGCACCUUGGUUGGUGUUUCUCUCUUUGUAUUAGUUGUGUAACUUCAAGAUUCUCAUUUGAUUUGUAUUUGGAUAACCAUUGAAAUAUUUUUAUUGAUAAGAAGCAUAGGAUCUAUAAGUAAGAUUUAACAUCUUACAAGAUCAAAAGAGUCAUUCAAACUUGUAAGAAAUCUGAUGGAAUAGAUCAAACCAUGUUAAGAUCUAGAUAUCUCUUUUUUCAACUCUAACAG